AUUAAAUGCCUAGAGAGAAUCUG
rnacentral:snRNA from 1 species